rnacentral:lncRNA from 1 species
AUGAGUGAACAGGGAGUACAGGAGAGGGCUGAGAAUGCACCCUUGUGGGGCCCCAGUGUUGAGGAUCAGCGGGGUGGAGAAGUUGUUUCCUAUCUUCACCACCUGGGGGCGGCCCGUCAGGAAGUCCAGGAUCCAGUUGCACAGGGCGGUGUCGAGACCCAGGGUAUCGAGCUUAAUGACGAGUUUGGAGGGUACAAUGGUGUUAAAUGCUUAGCUGUAGUCAUUGUUUUAGUUUACAAUGGAGCCCCAAGUUCCACUCCUCAUACCUCUGAUACCUCCUUUGUCCCACCUCCCACACAUGCGGUGACCUCACCCAUUAUAACCAGCAUGUCCAGAGAUACAACCUCUCUUAUCAUCACCCAGUGCCUGGGCUUACCUCCACUGUACCCGCACCCCACCAUACCCUUGUCUGCACAUUAUGCCCUAAAUAUAUUCUACCACGCCCAUAAAUCUGCUCCUUUUAUUCCUUGUCCCCAACGCUCUAGGCGACCAGUUUUGAUAGCCUUUAGCCACACCCUCAUCCUACUCCUUCUCUGUUCCUCGGGUGAUGUGGAGGUAAACCCAGACCCUGCAUGUCCCCAGGCACCCACAUUUGUUGACUUCUGUGAUCGAAAAAGCCUUGGUUUCAUGCAUGUCAAMAUCAGAAGCCUCCUCCCUAAGUUUGUUUUACUCACUGCUUUAGCACACUCUGCCAACCCUGAUGUCCUUGCCGUGUCUGAAUCCUGGCUUAGGAAGGCCACCAAAAAUUCWGAGAUUUCCAUACCCAACUAUAACACCUUCCGUCAAGAUAGAACUGCCAAAGGGGGAGGAGUUGCAAUCUACUGCAGAGAUAGCCUGCAAAGUUCUGUCAUACUUUCCAGGUCUAUGCCCAAACAGUUCGAACUUCUAAUUUUAAAAAUUAAUCUCUCCAGAAAUGAGUCUCUCACUGUUGCCGCCUGCUACCGACCCCCCUCAGCUCCCAGCUGUGCCCUGGAUACCAUCUGUGAAUUGAUCGCCCCCCAUCUAGCUUCUGUUAGGUGA